GUGGGGAAUUUUGGACAAUGGGCGCAAGCCUGAUCCAGCAAUGCCGCGUGUGUGAAGAAGGCCUUCGGGUUGUAAAGCACUUUUGGCAGGAAAGAAAUAGCGCGUGCUAAUACCAUGCGCGAAUGACGGUACCUGCAGAAUAAGCACCGGCUAACUACGUGCCAGCAGCCGCGGUAAGACGUAGGGUGCAAGCGUUAAUCGGACUUACUGGGCGUAAAGCGUGCGCAGGCGGUUUUGUAAGACAGGUGUGAAAUCCCCGGGCUCAACCUGGGAACUGCACUUGUGACUGCAAGGCUAGAGUGUGUCAGAGGGAGGUGGAAUUCCGCGUGUAGCAGUGAAAUGCGUAGAGAUGCGGAGGAACACCGAUGGCGAAGGCAGCCUCCUGGGAUAACACUGACGCUCAGGCACGAAAGCGUGGGGAGCAAACAGGAUUAGAAACCCGUGUAGUCC
rnacentral:rRNA from 1 species